rnacentral:rRNA from 1 species
AGCAGCCGCGGUAAUUCCAGCUCCAAUAGCGUAUAUUAAAGUUGUUGCAGUUAAAAAGCUCGUAGUUGAAUUUCGAGACCGGCUUACUGGUCGUGCUAUUGUACGUACUGGUAUAAUCGGUUUCUCCUUUCUGACGAACUAUAAUGCCAUUAAUUUGGUGUUUUAGGGAAUCAGGACUGUUACUUUGAAAAAUUAGAGUGUUUAAAGCAGGCUCACGCUUGAAUACAUUAGCAUGGAAUAACGGAAUAGGACGUUUGAUUCUAUUUUGUUGGUUUCUAGGAUCGACGUAAUGAUUAAUAGGGAUAGUUGGGGGCAUUAGUAUUCAAUUGUCAGAGGUGAAAUUCUUGGAUUUAUUGAGGACUAACUACUGCGAAAGCAUUUGCCAAGGAUGUUUUCAUUAAUCAAGAACGAAAGUUAGGGGAUCGAAGACGAUCAGAUACCGUCGUAGUCUUAACCAUAAACUAUGCCGACUAGGGAUCGGAUGAUGUUAAUUUUUUAAUGACUCA